UUGAACGCUGGCGGCAGGCCUAACACAUGCAAGUCGCGCGGAUGAAGGGAGCUUGCUCCUGGAUUCAGCGGCGGACGGGUGAGUAAUGCCUAGGAAUCUGCCUGGUAGUGGGGGAUAACGUCCGGAAACGGGCGCUAAUACCGCAUACGUCCUGAGGGAGAAAGUGGGGGAUCUUCGGACCUCACGCUAUCAGAUGAGCCUAGGUCGGAUUAGCUAGUUGGUGGGGUAAAGGCCUACCAAGGCGACGAUCCGUAACUGGUCUGAGAGGAUGAUCAGUCACACUGGAACUGAGACACGGUCCAGACUCCUACGGGAGGCAGCAGUAGGGAAUAUUGGACAAUGGGCGAAAGCCUGAUCCAGCCAUGCCGCGUGUGUGAAGAAGGUCUUCGGAUUGUAAAGCACUUUAAGUUGGGAGGAAGGGCAGUAAGUUAAUACCUUGCUGUUUUGACGUUACCAACAGAAUAAGCACCGGCUAACUUCGUG
rnacentral:rRNA from 1 species